rnacentral:lncRNA from 1 species
CGAGGUGGUGUCGGAGGUUUGGCCGGUGCUACCGGUGGUUUAACCGGAUGUGUUGGGGUUGGGUUGACAGGUGGUUUAACCGGUGGUGGUGUCGUAACUGGCGUUGUCGUGGGUGGCUUAACCAGUGGCGUUGGGGGUUUGUACGUAGGUGGUUGAACCGGCGGUGGUUUGAUCAGUGGUGUUGUGGGUGGUUUAACCGUUGGCGUUGGGGGUUUGUACGUAGGUGGUUUGACCAGUGGUGCUGUGGGUGGUUUGACCGGAGGAAUUGGGUACGAUUUAACCGGUGGUUUCGUUGGUGUAACCGGACUGGUGGGAGGUUUGACCGGUGGUAGUGUGGUGGGUGGUUUAACCGGAGGUAUAGUGGUGGGUGGUUUAAUCGGGAUAGUAGGCAGCGUGGGUGGCUUGUACGACGGAGACGGCGGUUUGAUUGCCGGAGACGUCGG